UCAGUGAAUCAUCGAAUCUUUGAACGCACCUUGCGCCCUUUGGCUAUUCCGAAGGGCAUGCCUGUUURAGUAUCAUGAACACCUCAACUCUCAUGGCUCGCCAUGAUGAGCUUGGACUUUGGGGGACUUGCUGGCCUGCAGUCAGCUCCUCUUGAAUGAAUCAGCUAGCCAGUGUUUAGGUGGCAUCGCAGGUGUGAUAACUAUCUACGCUUGUGGUUCUCCACCAGGUAACCUUCAGUGAUGAAGGUUCGCUGGGGCUCAUAAACGUCUCUCCUCGGRGAGGACAGUUCUAUGAACAUUUGAUCUCAAAUCAGGUAGGACUACCCGCUGAACUUAAGCAUAUCAAUAAGCGG
rnacentral:sRNA from 1 species